rnacentral:sRNA from 1 species
UGGAAAGGGUUAGAUUAAGCUAAAUGGGGAUUAUCACAUUCAGAAAUUAUCAGAACAGAUGUGUAAAAAAAUGUAUAAUCUGUGUGUGUGUCUGCGUGUGUGUGUGUGUGUGUGUGCGCGUGCGCGUGUAUGCACGCACAGGCAUGCAUAAGCCAUGGUGAAGUAAAGAUGGACUGGAGCUGGAAGGUAAUCUAA